UUUUUAUUGGACGUUGACUGUCAUGUGUCGCAUUUUUAUUGGACGUUAAUUUCAUGUACUUAAUUAGCUUUAAAGUCCAAUAAAAGUGCAACACGUGAUGAUAAAUGUUC
rfam:Glycine max cultivar Williams 82 chromosome 6, whole genome shotgun sequence.